AUUGAACGCUGGCGGCAGGCCUAACACAUGCAAGUCGCACGAGUGGCGGACGGGUGAGGAAUGUCUGGGAAACUGCCUGAUGGAGGGGGAUACCUACUGGAAACGGUAGCUAAUACCGCAUACCAUCAGAUGUGCCCAGAUGGGAUUAGCUUGUUGGUGGGGUAACGGCUCAACAAGGCGACGAUCCCUAGCUGGUUUGAGAGGAGGACCAGCCACACUGGAGCGGGGGCCCGGUCCAGACUCCUACGGGAGGCAGCAGUGGGGAAUAUUGCACAAUGGGCGCAAGCCUGAUGCAGCCAUGCCGCGGGUAUGAAGAAGGCCGUCGGUUUGUAAAGUACUUUCAGCGGGGCGGCGUUACCCGCAGAAGAAGCACCGGCUAACUCCGUGCCAGCAGCCGCGGUAAUUC
rnacentral:rRNA from 1 species